UGAAAAUAUUUUCCAUUGUUUGGUAUGUUUUCAUAUUUUGUCAAAGUUCAUAAAAUGACUUAAAUAAGUUAUUUUCCUUAAAAAGUGGCUUAGUUUUUCCUUUUACCAAUAUUUUAGAAAAUGUGAAAAACGUUUUCAGGCGGAGCCUUGGGUUUUUAUUUGUUAUGCUAAUUUGGCUAUCAAAUUGAGCUUGAUGCAUUUUCACUGUUGGAAUUAAUAUUAUUCUCUUAAUAAUCUUCUUAAUAUCUUAGAUUUUUAUGCUAAUUUGAUAUAUUUUGGCGAUACAAGGUUUCCGAUGCUUUG
rnacentral:misc_RNA from 1 species